GUGACAAUGUAUCAGCCCAGCCACAAAGAGAGAGACGUUUGUUGGGUUAUUCUUGUCACCUACAUCAACUUGAGGGUCUUGCCGACAGUGCUGGUGUGAGCUCCCCAGCACUGUGCGAUUAACCCUUACAAU